AUGAUUUCGUGCUCUUUUUGUAACAAAACGCUGAAGACGUUGAGGGGUUAUGUGCUGCAUUGUAGAGUUCACAGGAACGAACCCCAUCAUUUUUUCAAAUGCAUCGGUAGUGACUGCAAGCGUACAUUUUAUGCUUACGCGGCCUUUAAAGCCCAUUUCUAUCGGGUUCACAAUGUACCUGCACCCCCUAUUGCUGGUAGCGCCAUUUUUACAGACUUAAAAUGUGCUACUACACUCUGUGAGCGCCAGUUUCACACGGUGAAAGAACUUAUAUCCCACUUAAAACAGCAUAUAGUGGAGGGGCGACCUGUGGCAUGUCCAGUAACUGGUUGUAAAAGUAUGUUCUCUGUGAAAUCGUCAUUUACUGCUCAUAUGUCCAGAAAACAUAGAGAAUGCUCUGUUGAAAGCAUAAGCGACAUGUAUAGGGGGACACUUCCUCAGUCUUCUGCUGUAUUUGCAGGUGAAGAUGCUCCCCAGAGCUUAAAUGAGGCAACAACAAAUGAAGGCACUGAACUGCCACAGAAUUUCAGUGAGGCCUUCCUUAGGAAUGUGUGUUUGUUUUACCUAAAACUGCAAGGGCAGCUCCUUCUUCCAGCUUCAACAAUACAGACAAUUGUUGAAGAGAUGCAAAACGUGCAUUUGUUGGGCCAGGAUUAUGCUUUAGGUAAAUUGCAUUCACUUUUAAAAAAUGACUUGUGCCUAACAGAUGACACUAUUGUUAAAAUCUGUGAUUGUAUUAAGGAGUCAGAUCUGUUUUCUACCUGUCAUAAGGGCCCACUGAGAACAACAUACACAAGAACUCAGACAUUCAAAAAGAUAUUCAAAUACGUAGAGCCUGAAAAAUUAACAUUAGGAAAUGAUGAAAAUAUGACACCACGGUUUGCCUACUAUAUACCAGUGAAACAAACACUAAGCAGCUUAUUAGAAUCAGAAUUAUGGAAGAAUUCAGUGUCACAGCAGUCUUGUGAAACUGACUCUGAGGCUUUUGGAGACAUAAGUGAUGGACAAAGCUUUAAGUCCAACAAGUUUUUCAUUGACAAUCCAGGAUGCCUGAAGCUAAUUCUGUACCAGGAUGCAUUUGAAAUUGUUAAUCCUCUUGGCUCCGCUAAGAAAAAACACAAAGUGGUUGCAGUCUAUCUGUCAGUGGCAAAUUUGCCUGCUCAUUUGCGGUCCAAUACUGAUCACAUGUCCCUUGUCUUACUAUGUGGAGAGAAUGACCUUAAAAAAUUUGGAAACGCAAAGGUUUUCUCAAAAGUGGUAGAAGAUUUAAAAGAUUUGGAGGAAAAUGGUAUCAUUUCUGGUGAUGAAAUAGUCAAAGCAGCUUUGCACAGCAUUGCUGGUGAUAAUUUGGGUUCACACAACAUUGGUGGGUUUACUGAGAACUUCAGUCGCUCUGAAUACUUUUGCAGAUACUGUGAAAUCACACGAAGGGAGUUUCAGAGUAAUGAUCCAAAUGUCUGUGGUCCACAGCGCACACCUGAAAGCUACAAUUCUGCUGUGGGCGAUCUACAAGCUGAAGGCAGUCAAGAAAUCAAAGGGAUAAAGGUAAACUCUGUUUUAAUACCUUGA
ensembl:lncRNA